CCUACGGGAGGCAGCAGUGAGGAAUAUUGGUCAAUGGACGAGAGGCUGAACCAGCCAAGUCGCGUGAAGGAUGAAUGCCCUAUGGGUUGUAAACUUCUUUUAUAUGGGAGUAAAAUGAUCCACGUGUGGGAGUUUGUAAGUACCUGAAGAAUAAGGAUCGGCUAACUCCGUGCCAGCAGCCGCGGUAAUACGGAGGAUGCGAGCGUUAUCCGGAUUUAUUGGGUUUAAAGGGUGCGUAGGUGGAUUGUUAAGUCAGGUGUGAAAGCUUGGGGCUCAACCCUAAAAUAGCAGUUGAAACUGGCGAUCUUGAGUGCACGAGAGGUGGGCGGAAUGCGUGGUGUAGCGGUGAAAUGCAUAGAUAUCACGAAGAACUCCGAUUGCGAAGGCAGCUCACCGGACCCCAACUGACGCUGAGGCACAAAAGUGUGGGUAUCGAACAGGAUUAGAUACCCCAGUAGUC
rnacentral:rRNA from 1 species